rnacentral:rRNA from 1 species
UCGAGAAUCUUCUGCAAUGGGCGCAAGCCUGACAGAGCGACGCCGCGUGCGGGAUGAAGGCCUUCGGGUUGUAAACCGCUGUCAGUGGGGAGCAAAUUCUAGGGGGUUCUCCCCUUAGAUUGAGCGAUCCGCAGAGGAAGCACAGGCUAAGCUCGUGCCAGCAGCCGCGGUAAGACGAGCUGUGCAAACGUUAUUCGGAAUUACUGGGCUUAAAGAGUCCGUAGGCGGCGCGUUAGGUGGGGUGUGAAAUCCCUCGGCUCAACCGAGGAAUUGCGCUCCAAACCGGCGUGCUUGAGGAAGGUAGAGGUGAGCGGAACUGAUGGUGGAGCGGUGAAAUGCGUUGAUAUCAUCAGGAACACCGGAGGCGAAGGCGGCUCACUGGGCCUUUUCUGACGCUGAGGGACGAAAGCCAGGGUAGCGAACGGGAUUAGAUACCCCGGUAGUCCUGGCUGUAAACGAUGAGCACUAGGUCGAGGAACUCCCAC